rnacentral:rRNA from 1 species
UACAGGAGGGUGCGAGCGUUAAUCGGAAUUACUGGGCGUAAAGCGUGCGUAGACGGUUAUUUAAGUCGGGUGUGAAAGCCCCGGGCUCAACCUGGGAAUUGCAUUCGAGACUGAAUAGCUAGGGUACGGUAGAGGGAAGUGGAAUUUCCGGUGUAGCGGUGAAAUGCGUAGAUAUCGGAAGGAACAUCAGUGGCGAAAGCGACUUCCUGGACCAGUACCGACGUUCAGGCACGAAAGCGUGGGGAGCAAACAGG